UACGUAGGGGCCGAGCGUUGUCCGGAGUUAUUGGGCGUAAAGCGCGCGCAGGCGGCUUGGCGCGUCCGACGUGAAAGCCCCCGGCUUAACCGGGGAGGGUCGUCGGGUACGGUCAGGCUUGAGGGCGGGAGAGGGUGGUGGAAUUCCCGGUGUAGUGGUGAAAUGCGUAGAGAUCGGGAGGAACACCUGUGGCGAAGGCGGCCACCUGGGCCGGCCCUGACGCUGAGGCGCGAAGGCGUGGGGAGCGAACGGG
rnacentral:rRNA from 1 species